rnacentral:rRNA from 1 species
GGUUGAUCCUGCCAGUAGUCAUAUGCUUGUCUCAAAGAUUAAGCCAUGCAUGUCCAAGUAUAAACUGUUGUACGGUGAAACUGCGAAUGGCUCAUUAUAUCAGUUAUAAUUUAUUUGAUAGUACAUUACUAAAUGGAUAACCGUGGUAAUUCUAGAGCUAAUACAUGCACAAGGGCCCUGCGUUAGUGGGGCUGUAUUUAUUAGAUUAAAACCAAUGCUUCGGCUAGUGGUGAAUCAUAAUAACUGAUCAGAUCGUAAGACCAUGAGUCGGACGACGUAUCAUUCAAAUUU